GUGGGAAUAGCUCAGUGGUAGAGUGCAUGCUUAGCAUGCACAAGGUCCUGGGUUCAAUCCCCAGUGCCUCCA
rnacentral:tRNA from 1 species